CGCGUAGGCGGGAUGGCAAGUCAGUCGUGAAAUCUCUCGGCUCAACCGAGAAACGUCGGCUGAUACUGCCGUUCUUGAGGGAUGCAGAGGAGACUGGAAUUCCCGGUGUAGCGGUGAAAUGUGUAGAGAUCGGGAGGAACACCGGUGGCGAAGGCGGGUCUCUGGGCAUUUCCUGACGCUGAGGCGCGAAAGCGUGGGGAGCAAACA
rnacentral:rRNA from 1 species